AUACUUACCUGGUAGGGGUGACACCAUGAUCAAGCAGGUGGUUUGCCUGAGGUGAGGCUCUGUCAUUGCGCUAUAUCGUGUUGACCAUUGUGAAUUCCCAUUCUCAUAGUGGGGCCCCUUUAAUGAAUUUAAAGUCCCCCAA
rnacentral:snRNA from 1 species